AGAGUUUGAUCCUGGCUCAGAUUGAACGCUGGCGGCAUGCCUUACACAUGCAAGUCGAACGGCAGCACGGAGCUUGCUCUGGUGGCGAGUGGCGAACGGGUGAGUAAUAUAUCGGAACGUACCCUGGAGUGGGGGAUAACGUAGCGAAAGUUACGCUAAUACCGCAUACGAUCUAAGGAUGAAAGUGGGGGAUCGCAAGACCUCAUGCUCGUGGAGCGGCCGAUAUCUGAUUAGCUAGUUGGUAGGGUAAAAGCCUACCAAGGCAUCGAUCAGUAGCUGGUCUGAGAGGACGACCAGCCACACUGGAACUGAGACACGGUCCAGACUCCUACGGGAGGCAGCAGUGGGGAAUUUUGGACAAUGGGCGCAAGCCUGAUCCAGCAAUGCCGCGUGAGUGAAGAAGGCCUUCGGGUUGUAAAGCUCUUUUGUCAGGGAAGAAACGGUGGAGGCUAAUAUCCUCUGCUAAUGACGGUACCUGAAGAAUAAGCACCGGCUAACUACGUGCCAGCAGCCGCGGUAAUACGUAGGGUGCAAGCGUUAAUCGGAAUUACUGGGCGUAAAGCGUGCGCAGGCGGUUUUGUAAGUCUGAUGUGAAAUCCCCGGGCUCAACCUGGGAAUUGCAUUGGAGACUGCAAGGCUAGAAUCUGGCAGAGGGGGGUAGAAUUCCACGUGUAGCAGUGAAAUGCGUAGAUAUGUGGAGGAACACCGAUGGCGAAGGCAGCCCCCUGGGUCAAGAUUGACGCUCAUGCACGAAAGCGUGGGGAGCAAACAGGAUUAGAUACCCUGGUAGUCCACGCCCUAAACGAUGUCUACUAGUUGUCGGGUCUUAAUUGACUUGGUAACGCAGCUAACGCGUGAAGUAGACCGCCUGGGGAGUACGGUCGCAAGAUUAAAACUCAAAGGAAUUGACGGGGACCCGCACAAGCGGUGGAUGAUGUGGAUUAAUUCGAUGCAACGCG
rnacentral:rRNA from 1 species